CCCGCACAACCGGUGGAGUAUGUGGUUUAAUUCGAUGCAACGCGAAGAACCUUACCUGGUCUUGACAUCCACGGAACUUUCCAGAGAUGGAUUGGUGCCUUCGGGAACCCGUGAGACAGGUGCUGCAUGGCUGUCGUAACGUGUCGUGAGAUGUUGGGUUAAGUCCCGCAACGAGCGCAACCCUUGUCCUUAGUUGCCAGCACGUAAUGGUGGGAACUCUAAGGAGACCGCCGGUGACAAACCGGAGGAAGGUGGGGAUGACGUCAAGUCAUCAUGGCCCUUACGACCAGGGCUACACACGUACUACAAUGGUAGGGACAGAGGGCUGCGGCCCGAAGGGUAAG
rnacentral:rRNA from 1 species